UGGUCCAACCUGCUUUUGAGUGGGUAAGCCCUCCUCAUGCUGAGGGGUUGGGAUCAGCCUAGCUCUCGGUCCCCAGAUGUAAGGCACACUCUCCAACCUGGCCUUUACCUACACUGGAAGUGUGUCUGCAUUUCCAGUAAUUUGGAUGACAUUUGGUUUUCUUCUGCGUGUCUCCUGUGUCUAGGUCUCAACUGGCUCCAAGUUCAGGGAGAAAGAAGAGAUGUCUGUCUAGGUUUUCUUGAACUUCCAGAAAAGGAUGCAGUUGUUUUCAGACAUGGCCUCUACACGGGAAGAGCCAGGUGUGGGAAGCACACACAGUCGCAGGGAUGAGCACAGAGGACCUGCCCGUUCAUUUUUGCGUCCUUGGUGCUGACACGGUGCCUGGUCCGUCAUCAGCACUCAACACUCUGACCGAGCCUGACAUGAUCAGCUGGGACUGGAAAUGCCUGCAUGGAUGCAGCCAGUGGGUUUUGCCAGGACACACAAGAAUCAAGAGCCCACUGGGGAUUCCUCAUCACUCUGAAGACGGUGUUGGCAUAAACCACGGAGGUCUCCACAACUCACUUCCCUGGGUCCCAUCUUCCCAAUAAAACCCUUUUGCAAGC